rnacentral:tRNA from 3 species
GGCGACGUAGCUCAGUUGGUGAGAGCGGAGGAUUCAUAACCCUCAGGUCGGCGGUUCAAGUCCGCCCGUCGCCA